rnacentral:rRNA from 1 species
CACUAUCGUUAACUGAAUACAUAGGUUAACGAGGCGAACCGGGGGAACUGAAACAUCUAAGUACCCCGAGGAAAAGAAAUCAACCGAGAUUCCCCCAGUAGCGGCGAGCGAACGGGGAGCAGCCCAGAGUCUGAAUCAGCUUGUGUGUUAGUGGAACGGUCUGGAAAGUCCGACGGUACAGGGUGAUAGUCCCGUACACCAAAAUGCACAGGCUGUGAACUCGAAGAGUAGGGCGGGACACGUGGUAUCCUGUCUGAAUAUGGGGGGACCAUCCUCCAAGGCUAAAUACUCCUGACUGACCGAUAGUGAACCAGUACCGUGAGGGAAAGGCGAAAAGAACCCCGGCGAGGGGAGUGAAAAAGAACCUGAAACCGUGUACGUACAAGCAGUGGGAGCACCUUCGGGUGUGACUGCGUACCUUUUGUAUAAUGGGUCAGCGACUUAUAUUCUGUAGCAAGGUUAACCGUAUAGGGGAGCCGCAGGGAAACCGAGUCUUAACUGGGCGUUAAGUUGCAGGGUAUAGACCCGAAACCCGGUGAUCUAGCCAUGGGCAGGUUGAAGGUUGGGUAACACUAACUGGAGGACCGAACCGACUAAUGUUGAAAAAUUAGCGGAUGACUUGUGGCUGGGGGUGAAAGGCCAAUCAAACCGGGAGAUAGCUGGUUCUCCCCGAAAGCUAUUUAGGUAGCGCCUCGUGAACUCAUCUUCGGGGGUAGAGCACUGUUUCGGCUAGGGGGUCAUCCCGACUUACCAACCCGAUGCAAACUACGAAUACCGAAGAAUGUUAUCACGGGAGACACACGGCGGGUGCUAACGUCCGUCGUGAAGAGGGAAACAACCCAGACCGCCAGCUAAGGUCCCAAAGUCAUGGUUAAGUGGGAAACGAUGUGGGAAGGCACAGACAGCCAGGAUGUUGGCUUAGAAGCAGCCAUCAUUUAAAGAAAGCGUAAUAGCUCACUGGUCGAGUCGGCCUGCGCGGAAGAUGUAACGGGGCUAAACCAUGCACCGAAGCUGCGGCAGCGACACUAUGUGUUGUUGGGUAGGGGAGCGUUCUGUAAGCCUGCGAAGGUGUGCUGUGAGGCAUGCUGGAGGUAUCAGAAGUGCGAAUGCUGACAUAAGUAACGAUAAAGCGGGUGAAAAGCCCGCUCGCCGGAAGACCAAGGGUUCCUGUCCAACGUUAAUCGGGGCAGGGUGAGUCGACCCCUAAGGCGAGGCCGAAAGGCGUAGUCGAUGGGAAACAGGUUAAUAUUCCUGUACUUGGUGUUACUGCGAAGGGGGGACGGAGAAGGCUAUGUUAGCCGGGCGACGGUUGUCCCGGUUUAAGCAUGUAGGCUGGUUAUCCAGGCAAAUCCGGAUAAUCAAGGCUGAGGUGUGAUGACGAGGCACUACGGUGCUGAAGUAACAAAUGCCCUGCUUCCAGGAAAAGCCUCUAAGCAUCAGGUAACAUCAAAUCGUACCCCAAACCGACACAGGUGGUCAGGUAGAGAAUACCAAGGCGCUUGAGAGAACUCGGGUGAAGGAACUAGGCAAAAUGGUGCCGUAACUUCGGGAGAAGGCACGCUGGUGUGUAGGUGAAGUCCCUGCGGAUGGAGCUGAGACCAGUCGAAGAUACCAGCUGGCUGCAACUGUUUAUUAAAAACACAGCACUGUGCAAACACGAAAGUGGACGUAUACGGUGUGACGCCUGCCCGGUGCCGGAAGGUUAAUUGAUGGGGUUAUCCGUAAGGAGAAGCUCUUGAUCGAAGCCCCGGUAAACGGCGGCCGUAACUAUAACGGUCCUAAGGUAGCGAAAUUCCUUGUCGGGUAAGUUCCGACCUGCACGAAUGGCGUAAUGAUGGCCAGGCUGUCUCCACCCGAGACUCAGUGAAAUUGAACUCGCUGUGAAGAUGCAGUGUACCCGCGGCAAGACGGAAAGACCCCGUGAACCUUUACUAUAGCUUGACACUGAACAUUGAGCCUUGAUGUGUAGGAUAGGUGGGAGGCUUUGAAGCGUGGACGCCAGUCUGCGUGGAGCCAACCUUGAAAUACCACCCUUUAAUGUUUGAUGUUCUAACGUUGGCCCCUUACCGGGGUUGCGGACAGUGUCUGGUGGGUAGUUUGACUGGGGCGGUCUCCUCCCAAAGCGUAACGGAGGAGCACGAAGGUUAGCUAAUCCUGGUCGGACAUCAGGAGGUUAGUGCAAUGGCAUAAGCUAGCUUGACUGCGAGCGUGACGGCGCGAGCAGGUGCGAAAGCAGGUCAUAGUGAUCCGGUGGUUCUGAAUGGAAGGGCCAUCGCUCAACGGAUAAAAGGUACUCCGGGGAUAACAGGCUGAUACCGCCCAAGAGUUCAUAUCGACGGCGGUGUUUGGCACCUCGAUGUCGGCUCAUCACAUCCUGGGGCUGAAGUAGGUCCCAAGGGUAUGGCUGUUCGCCAUUUAAAGUGGUACGCGAGCUGGGUUUAGAACGUCGUGAGACAGUUCGGUCCCUAUCUGCCGUGGGCGCUGGAGAAUUGAGGGGGGCUGCUCCUAGUACGAGAGGACCGGAGUGGACGCAUCACUGGUGUUCGGGUUGUCAUGCCAAUGGCACUGCCCGGUAGCUAAAUGCGGAAGAGAUAAGUGCUGAAAGCAUCUAAGCACGAAACUUGCCCCGAGAUGAGUUCUCCCUGAGACUUUAAGUCUCCUGAAGGAACGUU